AUUUCCACUGCUGCUCUCUCAUCUGCUGCUCUGAAGCCUAAACCAUGGUGCCCAGAAUCUUCGAUGCAACUCAUGAGAAGCUGGAGGACCUGGAGAAGCUGGCAACUCAAAAAGGCCAAAGGGUGCAGACAAUAAAAGCCCCAGACAAGCGUAUAGAACCACACGCCGUCUUUUUACUUGCCCUUCACCAUGAAGGUCCAGGGGCAGCACUGCUCAAAGCAGACUCUGAAGGUGCAGUUUCCACACGUCUGGGU
rnacentral:lncRNA from 1 species